rnacentral:misc_RNA from 1 species
GAUGAAGAACGUAGCGAAAUGCGAUAAGUAAUGUGAAUUGCAGAAUUCAGUGAAUCAUCGAAUCUUUGAACGCACAUUGCGCCCGCCGGUAUUCCGGCGGGCAUGCCUGUUCGAGCGUCAUUUCAACCAUCAAGCCCCCGGCUUGUGUUGGGGACCUGCGGCUGCCGCAGGCCCUGAAAAGCAGUGGCGGGCUCGCUGUCACACCGAGCGUAGUAGAUUUCAUCUCGCUCAGGGCGUGCUGCGGGUUCCGGCCGUUAAACCACCUUCAUAACCCAAGGUUGACCUCGGAUCAGGUAGGAAGACCCGCUGAACUUAAGCAUAUCAAUAAGCGGAGGA